rnacentral:lncRNA from 1 species
GUUUUUACCUUUAUAAUAAUGCAAAUAGAUAUCAUUCAACGAAUUGGUUAGUCUCAUUUUAAAACCAUUUUGGAUUGAUUUAACAGAGUUGCACACUGAAUAGAGAUGCCCUUCAUGCUGAGCUGUGGUUUUGUUGUGUUGUUCCAGCACUGCCCCAUGUGAGGGGAGGGUUGAGCUCUUCCUAACAUAUCCCGGCUUCAUUUGAUAUGUGCAUACCCAAGUCAUUGAUUGCUGUCUUAUCAUAUUUAUAAUUUAUUAAUUAUUUUGUGCACACAUCAGGCUGUUAGUUUUCUUGUUUU